GACGAACGCUGGCGGCGUGCUUAACACAUGCAAGUCGAACGGAAAGGCCUCUUUCGGGGGGUACUCGAGUGGCGAACGGGUGAGUAACACGUGAGUAACCUGCCCUUGACUUUGGGAUAACUUCAGGAAACUGGGGCUAAUACCGGAUAGGAGCUCCUGCUGCAUGGUGGGGGUUGGAAAGUUUCGGCGGUUGGGGAUGGACUCGCGGCUUAUCAGCUUGUUGGUGGGGUAGUGGCUUACCAAGGCUUUGACGGGUAGCCGGCCUGAGAGGGUGACCGGCCACAUUGGGACUGAGAUACGGCCCAGACGCCUACGGGAGGCAGCAGUGGGGAAUAUUGCACAAUGGGUGGAAGCCUGAUGCAGCAACGCCGUGUGCGGGAUGACGGCCUUCGGGUUGUAAAACGCUUUCGCUCAUGACGAAGCUUUGUGUGACGGUAGUGGGUAAAGAAGCACCGGCUAACUACGUG
rnacentral:rRNA from 1 species